rnacentral:rRNA from 1 species
AUUGAACGCUGGCGGCAGGCCUAACACAUGCAAGUCGAGCGAGCGGCGGACGGGUGAGUAAUGUCUGGGAAACUGCCUGAUGGAGGGGGAUAACUACUGGAAACGGUAGCUAAUACCGCAUACCAUCAGAUGUGCCCCGAUGGGAUUAGCUAGUCGGUGGGGUAAUGGCUCACCUAGGCGACGAUCCCUAGCUGGUCUGAGAGGAUGACCGGCCACACUGGAACUGAGACACGGUCCAGACUCCUACGGGAGGCAGCAGUGGGGAAUAUUGCACAAUGGGCGCAAGCCGGAUGCAGCCAUGCCGCGUGUGGGAAGAAGGCCUUCGGAUUGUAAAGCACUUUCAGCGGGGAGGCGUUACCCGCAGAAGAAGCACCGGCUAACUCCGUGCCAGCAGCCGCGGUAAUAC